UACGUAGGUGGCGAGCGUUAUCCGGAUUUAUUGGGUUUAAAGGGUGCGUAGGUGGCGCCAUAAGUCGGGUGUGAAAUUUCGGAGCUUAACUCCGAAACUGCAUUCGAUACUGUGGUGCUUGAGGACUGGAGAGGAGACUGGAAUUCACGGUGUAACAGUGAAAUGCGUAGAGAUCGUGAGGAAGACCAGUGGCGAAGGCGGGUCUCUGGACAGUUCCUGACACUGAGGCACGAAGGCCAGGGGAGCAAACGGG
rnacentral:rRNA from 1 species